ACGUUAGCGGCGGACGGGUGAGUAACACGUGGGUAACCUACCUAUAAGACUGGGAUAACUUCGGGAAACCGGAGCUAAUACCGGAUAAUAUUUCGAACCGCAUGGUUCGAUAGUGAAAGGUGGUUUUGCUAUCACUUAUAGAUGGACCCGCGCCGUAUUAGCUAGUUGGUAAGGUAACGGCUUACCAAGGCGACGAUACGUAGCCGACCUGAGAGGGUGAUCGGCCACACUGGAACUGAGACACGGUCCAGACUCCUACAGGAGGCAGCAGAC
rnacentral:rRNA from 1 species